GAGCUGGAUGCUCCCAGUGGGGCAAUGUGGGCCACAUAUGGUGUAGAAAAGGAAGAUGGCGGAAUGUUCACCGUAAAAGUUCCACGAGUGAUGCUGGAAUCCAGAAAAGAUAAGGACGAUUUCCCUAAUAUAUCACCGCCAGUCGGAAUGGUGUGAACCGAACGUUUAUGGUUUUCAAAAUGGUUUCCACAUUGUAUAUCCUAGUAUUUUUUGCGUACUAGACAAUAUAAAUCAAACUGCAUUUUUGAUGCAGGUAUUUAUUUCAAUUGCUAUAGUCUGGCGUUUGUAUUUCUGAUAUUUUGUUAAUCCAAAUGAAUUAAUUUGAUGAAGUGGCAUGGUUUACCACAAACAAUAGAAGAAAUGAGUUACAAAGUAUUUUUUAACAUACAUGUAGAUUUGUAAAGAUGAAAAUGAUGCAAUAAAAUAAUUUUAAUAGUU
rnacentral:misc_RNA from 1 species